CCUAGUGAUGAUGGCAAAGAGGUCACACCCGUUCCCAUACCGAACACGGAAGUUAAGCUCUUUAGCGCCGAUGGUAGUUGGGGGCUUCCCCCUGCGAGAGUAGGACGUCGCUGGGC
rnacentral:rRNA from 1 species